rnacentral:rRNA from 1 species
UACGAACCGUACAAACGUUAUUCGGAAUCACUGGGCUUAAAGGGUGCGUAGGCGGCCAUGUAAGUGAGGUGUGAAAUCCCUCGGCUCAACCGAGGAACUGCGCUUCAUACUGCAUGGCUUGAGGGAGACAGGGGUAAGCGGAACUGAUGGUGGAGCGGUGAAAUGCGUUGAUAUCAUCAGGAACACCGGUGGCGAAAGCGGCUUACUGGGUCUCUUCUGACGCUGAGGUACGAAAGCUAGGGUAGCGAACGGGAUUAGAUACCCCGGUAGUCCUAGCUGUAAACGAUGAGCACUUAUCUGGGGAUCCUCCCAUAGGUUCCCGGAUGUAGCGAAAGUGUUAAGUGCUCCGCCUGGGGAGUAUGGUCGCAAGGCUG